GACGAACGCUGGCGGCGUGCUUAACACAUGCAAGUCGAACGGAAAGGCCCUGCUUUUGUGGGGUGCUCGAGUGGCGAACGGGUGAGUAACACGUGAGUAACCUGCCCUUGACUUUGGGAUAACUUCAGGAAACUGGGGCUAAUACCGGAUAGGAGCUCCUGCUGCAUGGUGGGGGUUGGAAAGUUUCGGCGGUUGGGGAUGGACUCGCGGCUUAUCAGCUUGUUGGUGGGGUAGUGGCUUACCAAGGCUUUGACGGGUAGCCGGCCUGAGAGGGUGACCGGCCACAUUGGGACUGGGAUACGGCCCAGACUACUACGGGAGGCAGCAGUGGAGAAUAUUGCACAAUGGGCGGAAGCCUGAUGCAGCAACGCCGCGUGCGGGAUGACGGCCUUCGGGUUGUAAACCGCUUUCGCCUGUGACGAAGCGUGAGUGACGGUAAUGGGUAAAGAAGCACCGGCUAACUACGUG
rnacentral:rRNA from 1 species